rnacentral:rRNA from 1 species
UAAUUUGAGAGUUUGAUCCUGGCUCAGGACGAACGCUGGCGGCGUGCCUAAUACAUGCAAGUCGAACGAACUCUGGUAUUGAUUGGUGCUUGCAUCAUGAUUUACAUUUGAGUGAGUGGCGAACUGGUGAGUAACACGUGGGAAACCUGCCCAGAAGCGGGGGAUAACACCUGGAAACAGAUGCUAAUACCGCAUAACAACUUGGACCGCAUGGUCCGAGUUUGAAAGAUGGCUUCGGCUAUCACUUUUGGAUGGUCCCGCGGCGUAUUAGCUAGAUGGUGAGGUAACGGCUCACCAUGGCAAUGAUACGUAGCCGACCUGAGAGGGUAAUCGGCCACAUUGGGACUGAGACACGGCCCAAACUCCUACGGGAGGCAGCAGUAGGGAAUCUUCCACAAUGGACGAAAGUCUGAUGGAGCAACGCCGCGUGAGUGAAGAAGGGUUUCGGCUCGUAAAACUCUGUUGUUAAAGAAGAACAUAUCUGAGAGUAACUGUUCAGGUAUUGACGGUAUUUAACCAGAAAGCCACGGCUAACUACGUGCCAGCAGCCGCGGUAAUACGUAGGUGGCAAGCGUUGUCCGGAUUUAUUGGGCGUAAAGCGAGCGCAGGCGGUUUUUAAGUCUGAUGUGAAAGCCUUCGGCUCAACCGAAGAAGUGCAUCGGAAACUGGGAAACUUGAGUGCAGAAGAGGACAGUGGAACUCCAUGUGUAGCGGUGAAAUGCGUAGAUAUAUGGAAGAACACCAGUGGCGAAGGCGGCUGUCUGGUCUGUAACUGACGCUGAGGCUCGAAAGUAUGGGUAGCAAACAGGAUUAGAUACCCUGGUAGUCCAUACCGUAAACGAUGAAUGCUAAGUGUUGGAGGGUUUCCGCCCUUCAGUGCUGCAGCUAACGCAUUAAGCAUUCCGCCUGGGGAGUACGGCCGCAAGGCUGAAACUCAAAGGAAUUGACGGGGCCCGCACAAGCGGUGGAGCAUGUGGUUUAAUUCGAAGCUACGCGAAGAACCUUACCAGGUCUUGACAUACUAUGCAAAUCUAAGAGAUUAGACGUUCCCUUCGGGGACAUGGAUACAGGUGGUGCAUGGUUGUCGUCAGCUCGUGUCGUGAGAUGUUGGGUUAAGUCCCGCAACGAGCGCAACCCUUAUUAUCAGUUGCCAGCAUUAAGUUGGGCACUCUGGUGAGACUGCCGGUGACAAACCGGAGGAAGGUGGGGAUGACGUCAAAUCAUCAUGCCCCUUAUGACCUGGGCUACACACGUGCUACAAUGGAUGGUACAACGAGUUGCGAACUCGCGAGAGUAAGCUAAUCUCUUAAAGCCAUUCUCAGUUCGGAUUGUAGGCUGCAACUCGCCUACAUGAAGUCGGAAUCGCUAGUAAUCGCGGAUCAGCAUGCCGCGGUGAAUACGUUCCCGGGCCUUGUACACACCGCCCGUCACACCAUGAGAGUUUGUAACACCCAAAGUCGGUGGGGUAACCUUUAGGAACCAGCCGCCUAAGGUGGGACAGAUGAUUAGGGUGAAGUCGUAACAAGGUAGCCGUAGGAGAACCUGCGGCUGGAUCACCUCCUUU